GCCAAGUGUGGUGGCACAUGCCUGUAGUCCUAGCUACUUGGGAGGCUGAGGCAGGAGGAUUGCUUGAGCCCAGGAGUUUGGGGCUGCAGUGAGCUAUCAUUGCACCACUGUACUCCAGCCUGGGUAACAGAGUGAGACCCUGUCUCUA
rnacentral:SRP_RNA from 1 species